CCUUGCCGCAAGGCACAGUAUCGCCGAAAACUUGCUCAAACUUGAUCAUUUAGAGGAAGUAAAAGUCGUAACAAGGUUUCCGUAGGUGAACCUGCGGAAGGAUCAUUAACGAAUCUAAUCAACCCCCUGCCUUUAUUGCGGAUCACCUAGUGCCGUUUUUCGAGGUCGAAGGCGUCCCCUUCGGGGCGCGCUUUCGUUAAAUCGUCCGUGGGUACGGUCUUCAGUAGCGUCGUGAGCUUGCUCGCGACGGUGCUGGGGCUCGGCGGGCCUCGAAUGUGUUUUUACCCACGAUAAUAACAAACCCCUUGACUUUUUACGUAUCCGAUCUGUCGCUCGGACGUUCCUCGCGGAACGGCCGUGCGCAGAGUCAAUCUAAAAGCGAACAACUUUUAACGGUGGAUCUCUUGGCUCGUGCAUCGAAUGAAGAACGCAGCAAACUGCGAUAAGUAAUGUGAAUUGCAGAAUUCAGUGAAUCAUCGAAUCUUUGAACGCAAAUGGCGCUCUUGGGAUCUUCCCAGGAGCACGCCUGUCUGAGCGUCGUUUCUCACGUCCCUACCCCAAGGGGCCUUGAAUCGUCCCGUUGAGCCGUCAAACGCUCGACCGGUCAUUUGAAAUGAAGCGAACCCGAGCUG
rnacentral:misc_RNA from 1 species